ACCCGCACAAGCAGCGGAGCGUGUGGUUUAAUUCGUUGCUACACGAAGAACCUUACCUGGGUUUGACAUAUAGGUUGUAGGGAACUGAAAGGGACCGACCUUCGGGAGCCUAUACAGGUGUUGCAUGGCUGUCGUCAGCUCGUGUCGUGAGAUGUUCGGUUAAGUCCGCUAACGAGCGCAACCCUCGUCGUAUGUUAUAUGUGUCAUACGAGAUUGCCGGUAAAAGCCGGAGGAAGGUGAGGAUGAUGUCAAGUCAGCAUGACCUUUAUAUCCAGGGCUACACACACGCUACAAUGGUCUGUACAAUGGGUAGCCAAGCCGCGAGGCGGAGCCAAUCCUGAAAGCAGGCCUCAGUUCAGAUUGCAGUCUGCAACUCGACUGCAUGAAGCCGGAGUUGCUAGUAACCGCAGGUCAGCAAUACUGCGGUGAAUACGUUCCCGGGUCUU
rnacentral:rRNA from 1 species